rnacentral:rRNA from 1 species
CUACGGGUUGCUGCAGUGGGGAAUAUUGGACAAUGGGGGAAACCCUGAUCCAGCAAUGCCGCGUGUGUGAAGAAGGCCUGCGGGUUGUAAAGCACUUUCGGUUGGGAGGACUGCUUCUAGCACUAAUAUUGUUGGAAGUUGACGUUACCUUCAGAAGAAGCACCGGCUAACUCCGUUCCAGCAGCCGCGGUAAUACGGAGGGUGCAUGCGUUAAUCGGAAUUACUGGGCGUAAAGCGCGCGUAGGCGGCUAGAUCAGUCGGGUGUGAAAGCCCCGGGCUUAACCUGGGAACUGCAUCCGAUACUGUCUAGCUUGAGUACAGGAGAGGAGAGUGGAAUUCCACAUGUAGCGGUGAAAUGCGUAGAUAUGUGGAGGAACACCAAUGGCGAAGGCAGCUCUCUGGCCUGAUACUGACGCUGAGGUGCAAAAGCGUGGGGAGCAAACAGGAUUAGAUACCCCAGUAGUC